GAUGAACGCUGGCGGCGUGCCUAACACAUGCAAGUCGAGCGAUUUACUUCGGUAAAGAGCGGCGGACGGGUGAGUAACGCGUGGGUAACCUGCCCUGUACACACGGAUAACAUACCGAAAGGUAUGCUAAUACGAGAUAAAAUACUUUUAUCGCAUGGUAGAAGUAUCAAAGUUUUUGCGGUACAGGAUGGACCCGCGUCUGAUUAGCUAGUUGGUAAGGUAACGGCUUACCAAGGCGACGAUCAGUAGCCGACCUGAGAGGGUGAUCGGCCACAUUGGAACUGAGACACGGUCCAAACUCCUACGGGAGGCAGCAGUGGGGAAUAUUGCACAAUGGGCGAAAGCCUGAUGCAGCAACGCCGCGUGAGCGAUGAAGGCCUUCGGGUCGUAAAGCUC
rnacentral:rRNA from 1 species